rnacentral:rRNA from 1 species
UACCAGACUCCUACGGGAGGCAGCAGUGGGGGAUAUUGCACAAUGGGGGGAACCCUGAUGCAGCGACGCCGCGUGGGUGAAGGAGCGUUUCGGCGCGUAAAGCCCUAUCGGCAGGGAAGAAGAUGACGGUACCUGACCAAGAAGCCCCGGCUAACUACGUGCCAGCAGCCGCGGUAAUACGUAGGGGGCAAGCGUUAUCCGGAUUUACUGGGUGUAAAGGGAGCGUAGACGGUUAUGUAAGUCUGGAGUGAAAGCCCGGGGCCCAACCCCGGGACUGCUUUGGAAACUGUGUAACUGGAGUACAGGAGGGGCAGGCGGAAUUCCUGGUGUAGCGGUGAAAUGCGUAGAUAUCAGGAGGAACACCGGCGGCGAAGGCGGCCUGCUGGACUGAAACUGACGUUGAGGCUCGAAAGCGUGGGGAGCAAACAGGAUUAGAUACCCCCGUA